GAACCGUGCAAACGUUGUUCGGAAUCACUGGGCUUAAAGGGCGCGUAGGCGGGGGACCAAGUCCGGGGUGAAAUCUUUCGGCUCAACCGGAAAACUGCCUUGGAUACUGGUCUUCUUGAGGGAGGUAGGGGCAGGUGGAACUUCCGGUGGAGCGGUGAAAUGCGUUGAUAUCGGAAGGAACGCCGGUGGCGAAAGCGGCCUGCUGGAUCUCUUCUGACGCUGAGGCGCGAAAGCUAGGGGAGCGAACGGGAUUAGAUACCCCGGUAGUCCUAGCCCUAAACGAUGGGUACUAGGUUGCGGACUUGACAUGGGUUCGCAGCCGAAGCAAAAGUGUUAAGUACCCCGCCUGGGGAGUAUGGUCGCAAGGCUGAA
rnacentral:rRNA from 1 species